rnacentral:rRNA from 1 species
UCGCCUGUUUUAAAAAACAUAGUUUUAUGAAUAAUAUAUAAAAUUUAACCUGCCCAAUGAAAUUUUAAUGGCCGCAGUACUUUGACUGUGCUAAGGUAGCAUAAUAAAUUGACUCUUAAUUGGGGCCUAGAAUGAAUGGAUUUAUGGGUAGAUACUGUCUUUAAAAAUUUAAUAAAAGUUACUUAAAAGGUGAAAAUUCCUUUAAUAUAAUUUAUUAGACGAGAAGACCCUAGGAGUUUAAAUAUAUUUUGUUGGGGCGACAUUAUAGCAUAAAACCUAUAAAUUUUAAAAAUUAUAACGAAAAAUUUUAAUAUUAAUUAAACUACCCUAGGGAUAACAGCAUAAUUUUACUAAUAAGUUUGUGACCUCGAUGUUGGAUUAAGGACUUUAAAGUUAACAGCGUUAAAAGAUUGUUCUGUUCGAACAUUUUACCUUACGUGAUCUGAUUCCAGA